CCAGCAGCCGCGGUAAUUCCAGCUCCAAUAGCGUAUAUUAAAGUUGUUGCAGUUAAAAAGCUCGUAGUUGGACCUUGGGCCUGGACGGGCGGUCCGCCUCACGGCGUGUACUGUCUUGCCGGGCCUUUCCUCUUGGUGAUCUGUUGUUUCGGCAGCAGGGAACCAGGACCUUUACUUUGAAAAAAUUAGAGUGUUCAAAGCAGGCUCGACGCCGGAAUAUAUUAGCAUGGAAUAAUAAAAUAGGACGUGCGGUUCUAUUUUGUUGGUUUUUGGAAUCGCCGUAAUGAUUAAUAGGGACAGUCGGGGGCAUUAGUACUCACAUGCUAGAGGUGAAAUUCUUGGAUUUUGUGAAGACUAACUUCU
rnacentral:rRNA from 1 species